UACGAAGGGGCUAGCGUUGCUCGGAUUUACUGGGCGUAAAGCGCACGUAGGCGGAUCGUUAAGUUAGGGGUGAAACCCUGGAGCUCAACUCCAGAACUGCCUCUAAUACUGGCGAUCUAGAGUCCGGAAGAGGUGAGUGGAACUCCUAGUGUAGAGGUGGAAUUCGUAGAUAUUAGGAAGAACACCAGUGGCGAAGGCGGCUCACUGGUCCGGUACUGACGCUGAGGUGCGAAAGCGUGGGGAGCAAACAGG
rnacentral:rRNA from 1 species